ACAUCAGUCUUUUCCAUUGGAUGGAUCGGUCUAUUUUUUUACUUCACUGAUUAACCAUUACCUCAGCCAAGCAUUUGCAUUUUAGGUCAUGUUAGUUCUCAGUGGCUAAAGGAAUGUCAGCUAUUGCCAGAGGUUGGGGAAAUCUGAGCCAAGGCAGGAAGGACUGAAAUCAUUCAAAGAUCCUGAAGGAUGAAGCUCACGCUGGACUGGAAAAGAAGAAACAGCAAAGGAUACUAAGCUGGCGGGAAAUAUUGGACCACGUGCUCUAGCUCAUGGUUCCAGAUAAAGAGAAAGUGGGUAGAAUCAAGGGGCACAUAAAGAAAGAUCUAUUUGCUCACAUUGUACUCCCAUCCUCUGAAGCAUGUUGAUAAAGCCCUAGAGACAUCAUUAAUUUCUCUUGCUAGUUUCCUCAAGCCUCAGUGGCCAGCCUUGAAAAGAUGUGGGAUUCUGUUACUACUAUAGUGCCCAUACUGGCCUGGAAGAAGUUGAAAGUGAAGUUAAUACCCAAGGAACAAAUGAAAGCUGCCUGUCUGUGGCAGAAUGUUCCAGCAGAACAAGGGUGACUGCUGGGAUAGUAUGUGGUCCAAGGUUAGAACAGACUAACAUUGAAGAGCCCUUGUUUCUGUGACUCUCUGAUAGUCAACAAAGCACAACACAUAUUUUAUAGCUACAUUUUCUUGUUUGCUUUGUUUAAUGUGGCCUCCCUUGCCUCUCCUUUUCCCUUAUCUUGGCUCCGGGCUUUAAGGAUCAAUUUGUUGUAUGUACCUUCUUUUCCAUCUCUUCAACUUCCAUUCAGCUCAUUUGUUUUCCCAUUUCUCUUUCUUUCUUCUUCUAGCUAUUAAGGAACCUGUCAUAUGUCAGCCCCCAGGGGCCCAAGUGGCAGCUCCCUCAAUUCAUGGAAUGCCUAAUUUUACCCGCCUCUUUGGAGAAGGGGCUAGGUUUCCUUUAAAAAGAAAAAACAAAUCCCUGAUAUUGCCUGUUUCUAUCCCUAAGGCUCAAAUAAUUAAAAAGGAUAUUGUUUGACGAAA